AGUGAACGCUGGCGGUAGGCCUAACACAUGCAAGUCGAACGGCAGCACAGUAAGAGCUUGCUCUUACGGGUGGCGAGUGGCGGACGGGUGAGGAAUACAUCGGAAUCUACUUUUUCGUGGGGGAUAACGUAGGGAAACUUACGCUAAUACCGCAUACGACCUACGGGUGAAAGCAGGGGAUCUUCGGACCUUGCGCGAUUGAAUGAGCCGAUGUCGGAUUAGCUAGUUGGCGGGGUAAAGGCCCACCAAGGCGACGAUGCGUAGCUGGUCUGAGAGGAUGAUCAGCCACACUGGAACUGAGACACGGUCCAGACUCCUACGGGAGGCAGCAGUGGGGAAUAUUGGACAAUGGGCGCAAGCCUGAUCCAGCCAUGCCGCGUGGGUGAAGAAGGCCUUCGGGUUGUAAAGCCCUUUUGUUGGGAAAGAAAAGCAGCAGGUUAAUACCCCGCUGUUCUGACGGUACCCAAAGAAUAAGCACCGGCUAACUUCGUG
rnacentral:rRNA from 1 species